GGAUGGAGGCGGGUCCUGGGACUGUCAGUCGGCGCUCGCCGCCGCGGUUGCUCGCACGCCGGGCCUCCAGAGCCACCUCAGCGGAGCGCGCAGGUACCAGGCACAAAUGCUGUGUACAGACACACAUGCAGCCAAAAUACACAUGCACAUAAAAACCGAAUAUAUUGAAGAUGACAUCCCAUUGUCUUUGGUCUCCUCUGUGACUGUCCGGAAGCCAAAUUCCAGUCUCUGAAGGUGUUUAUGAAAAAAAUGCACAAUAUCCCGACUGACCGGAAAAAUUGAAGAAGGGUGCUGGAUCCGUGGGUCAGAGAACACACAGGACCAGCUUGCUACCCCAAGGCUGAAGUCUGGUGUCUCGGAUUUGGCCCUGCGUUACCCACUCCUGCUGCAUCUUGUCCAGCGAGGGACAAAGCACCCUGCCACCUGCCUGAAGAACAGGAAGAAAGGAAGUUAUAGAGGCAGAUUCCAGCGCAUCCAAUGACCGAGAUGCUGACGCUCAGAGGGAUCACCAAGACAUGUACUUCCAGAAGCCCCGGGAGAGCUGGACAAGAGGCACACUGACUCAAGUGGUAGAAGAACUGACAGUGACCACAUAACAUGGAUAUCAGCACCCAGGCUGCCCAUCCAAGACCCACCAAAUGGAGGAUAGCACAGCAGAAUCUCACCUUGCAAAAUCUGGCACAAGAACCAGAGAAGCCAGAGUAGCAGCAUGUAUCCCAAAACUACCAGAAAAAGCCAGAGAGCAUGGAUGGCAUGUUGACUUGUCAUUGGCUGUACUGAUAGUUAUUGAGAGAAGAGACCUCCUCUUCAUCAGAUCCCCUUCCAUCUGGACGCCACUUUCCACCAUAAGCUUGGGGUCCUGCUCCAGCUGUCAACCUUCCACUCAACCUUCCUUGUGAGGAAAUGCCCCUUUUCUCCUCUGUGUUCUGGUAUUCUGGAGUCACUUGUUGUACCCAGCACCGGGUCACCUUAAGUAGAAGCACCCUGAGACAUUCCUACUUCUCAGAAGCUGUCAAAUGAAUGUCACGCCUGUGUCACCCAGGGUUACACAUAACCUGGGUCCACUUCUGACAGAUGCUGCCUGACGUGGUCAGUGAAUUGCUCCUGAAGCAGUUUGGGUACCCUUCUCCCUGCCUCACUCAUCCCAGCUGUGACUUUGUCAGCACCUGGUGUCUGGAUCAUACAAAGGAGAAGCUGUGGUUGGAGGAAGCGAUACCUUGGUCUGCUGGGAGGCUGGAACCCACUCCAACCUAGGCAGAAGGUCACCAAUCCUCAGCUCACGUCCUGCCUUGUCCCCUACCCAUGACUUAGUCCUAUCUCUUGUGUCUGUCCUAGCUUGGACAGUUGUACUUUACUUUUUUUAAUUAAACAGAAUUUGGUUACUUUUUUUA